rnacentral:lncRNA from 1 species
UUAUUUUCAUGCUAAAAAAAUUUACCCUCUUGGAAGCCGAGUGUAUGUGUUUGUGUGUGUGUGUGUGUGUUUAAAAAACCUUGGCAUGAGCACAAGAGGCCGACCCUUAGCUUCAGAGGAGGAGGAAGUGCAGUGAGGGACAGCCGCAGAGGGCACGAGGGAGGGCCGGAUGAGUCAGUGUCUUUGCAACGCCCUCCUCUCAGGAGUGAGCCAAGCCAGUCCAUCCAGUGCUGUCUCGGAAAUAGAAAUCCCGUAGAAGCGACCGCUGUGGUGAUGACAGUGUGGUCGCCAUCAACCCCAGUUGGGAAGCAGGAGAUCCUCCUUCUGAGGAACCGGCAGAAGAUCAGGAGCAGCCUACCGCCGCGUCCCUAUGCGGGUGCCGCUCCCCGCUCUUCGUCCCAUCCCACGGGCCUUUGAUCCUCUCGCAUCAUCCCAGAAGGGUGAGUGCAGCACAGUACGAGACUGUGAGAGACGGCAUCCACAGACCUC